UACGUAGGGAGCAAGCGUUGUCCGGAUUUAUUGGGCGUAAAGAGCUCGUAGGCGGCUUAGAAAGUCAGGUGUGAAACCUCCAGGCUCAACCUGGAGACGCCACUUGAUACUUCUAUGGCUUGAGUUCGGUAGGGGUAAGCGGAAUUCCUGGUGUAGCGGUGAAAUGCGCAGAUAUCAGGAGGAACACCGAUGGCGAAGGCAGCUUACUGGGCCGAAACUGACGCUGAGGAGCGAAAGCGUGGGGAGCGAACAGG
rnacentral:rRNA from 1 species